AAUUUACUGCUCAUCAUGUUUUCAAGCACAGCGUUUUGUUAGUGUAGGCUGCAUAAUCGGCAGACUGUAAAUAUUUUCUUAAUCAUCGAUAACUAUUCAAAGUAACAAUCACCAAAUCACUCGUUGAAAACCUGUCUUUUUCCUUAUGAAAAUGCUCACCAUGUUUUCAAGCCCAGCAUUUCGCUAAUGUAAGCUGCAUAGUUGGCGAACUGUAGAAGAUCCAGCAAUCAUGAUAUGUGAAUUCAAAUCUUCAAUGUAAUGUGUUAAACUUGUCUACGUCUAGUGAUGCUCAAUGUUGUUCAUCUAUGAUUAGUUUCUGUCACAUCACCUAGCAAGAGUGUGUCACCAUUGCCCUCGAUUUUGUUGUAAAAUGAAAAUGAAAUUUUAUCAAUUAAAGCCUUCUAAAAUCUUGCUCAUA